rnacentral:rRNA from 1 species
UACAGAGACUGCAAGCGUUAUUCGGAUUCACUGGGCGUAAAGGGUGCGCAGGCGGUCGGGUGUGUCAGAUGUGAAUCCCGAGGCUCAACCUCGGAACUGCGUCUGAAACUACUCGACUAGAGUACUGGAGAGGGUAACGGAAUUCACGGUGUAGCAGUGAAAUGCGUAGAUAUCGUGAGGAACACCAGAGGCGAAGGCGGUUACCUGGACAGUUACUGACGCUCAGGCACGAAGCAUGGGGAGCAAAAGGG